AGUGAACGCUGGCGGUAGGCCUAACACAUGCAAGUCGAACGGCAGCACAGUAAGAGCUUGCUCUUACGGGUGGCGAGUGGCGGACGAGUGAGGAAUACAUCGGAAUCUACUUUUUCGUGGGGGAUAACGUAGGGAAACUUACGCUAAUACCGCAUACGACCUACGGGUGAAAGCAGGGGAUCUUCGGACCUUGCGCGAUUGAAUGAGCCGAUGUUGGAUUAGCUAGUUGGCGGGGUAAAGGCCCACCAAGGCGACGAUCCGUAGCUGGUCUGAGAGGAGGAUCAGCCACACUGGAACUGAGACACGGUCCAGACUCCUACGGGAGGCAGCAGUGGGGAAUAUUGGACAAUGGGCGCAAGCCUGAUCCAGCCAUACCGCGUGGGUGAAGAAGGCCUUCGGGUUGUAAAGCCCUUUUGUUGGGAAAGAAAAGCAGCAGGUUAAUACCCCGCUGUUCUGACGGUACCCAAAGAAUAAGCACCGGCUAACUUCGUG
rnacentral:rRNA from 1 species